GACCCUCGGCAAUGGAUAUCUCGGCUCUCACAUCGAUGAAAAAUGUAGCGAAAUGCAAUACUUGGUGUGAAUUGCAGAAUCCCGUGAACUACCGAGUCUUUGAACGCAAGUUGCGCCCGAAGCCAUUAGGCCGAGGGCACGUCUGCCUGGGCGUCA
rnacentral:rRNA from 1 species